rnacentral:rRNA from 1 species
AUUGAACGCUGGCGGCAUGCCUUACACAUGCAAGUCGAACGGCAGCAUGAUCUAGCUUGCUAGAUUGAUGGCGAGUGGCGAACGGGUGAGUAAUACAUCGGAACGUGCCCUGUAGUGGGGGAUAACUAGUCGAAAGAUUAGCUAAUACCGCAUACGACCUGAGGGUGAAAGUGGGGGACCGCAAGGCCUCAUGCUAUAGGAGCGGCCGAUGUCUGAUUAGCUAGUUGGUGGGGUAAAGGCCCACCAAGGCGACGAUCAGUAGCUGGUCUGAGAGGACGAUCAGGCACACUGGGACUGAGACACGGCCCAGACUCCUACGGGAGGCAGCAGUGGGGAAUUUUGGACAAUGGGGGCAACCCUGAUCCAGCAAUGCCGCGUGUGUGAAGAAGGCCUUCGGGUUGUAAAGCACUUUUGUCCGGAAAGAAAUCGCACUUACUAAUAUUAGGUGUGGAUGACGGUACCGGAAGAAUAAGGACCGGCUAACUACGUGCCAGCAGCCGCAGUAA